UCCCGGUUGGCCCGGGCAGUCCCGUCUGAAAAAUCCAACAGACAGCAAGGGUUGCGCUCGUUGCGGGACUUAACCCAACAUCUCACGACACGAGCUGACGACGGCCAUGCAACACCUGUCACCGCGUUCCCGAAGGCACUCCCCUGUUUCCAGGGGAUUCGCGGGAUGUCAAACCUUGGUAAGGUUCUUCGCGUAGCUUCGAAUUAAACCUCAUGAUCCUCUGCUUGUGCGGGUCCCCGUCAAUUCCUUUGAGUUUUAAGCUUGCGCUCGUACUCCCCAGGCGGGGUGCUUAACGCGUUAGCUUCUCAGCCCAGGGGGUCGAUACCCCGAACUAAUAGCACCCAUCGUUUACGGCGUGGACUAC
rnacentral:misc_RNA from 1 species